rnacentral:ncRNA from 1 species
CUUAUCAAGAGCGGCUGAGGGACAGGCCCUUUGAAGCCCGGCAACCUGCAUUAUGCAAGGUGCUAAAUCCUGCGGUAAUUUACCGGAAGAUGAG